rnacentral:lncRNA from 1 species
CUGUUUUGCUUUGUAGAAGUUUUACAUAUUUCUUUUUUUAAGGUGAUGAGAUAGCUUAAUGAUAAAAACAUUGCUUUUGUUUGCAGCUUUGACUGGCUUACACUAUUGGAAGUUUCCUCAAAAUUUAGAAAAGCUAUCUUUCCAUCUAAAAGACAAGUACUGGAAUGGUCUUGAAGUUUCUCAUCCUUAUGUCUUCCUCACCGUGCCAGAAUAACUUGCAAUACCAGCAACAAGAGAAACAACAGUAAUGCCUACAUUUGCAGAAUACCCACUAUGUACACUUUUUAUGAUUCUGCCUGCUCACUACUACAAAGUCAUGAAGAGCAUUAAUAUGAUUGGGCAACUUCUGACUUAUAUAAGGUAGAAAUAGUUUUUGCACGUUUACUGUGGACCAUUGUAUAAACUUCUUAUUGUUUGUAUUUUAAAAUUAUUUCCCUGCAGUUUCUCACCCCUUCUGCAAUAUCCUUCUGCUGAUUUGGUCUAUCAGUAGAUUUGGACUUCAGUGUCAUCCUUACAUUCAAAGCCAUAUAGUGUACUAAAACUUUGAAAUAACAAUCUAUAAUUGGUAGUAUUUCUGAUCUUCUCUUAAUCAUAACAUAGAUAUUCCCAGAAUCUGUGCAUUCAUUAUUAGGACCACCACAAUCUUGCUAUAAUUAUUAUAUCUUAAUUUCAUUCUUUUUAUGCAUACUUUGUAUCACUUGUUUAU